rnacentral:lncRNA from 1 species
AUGUACAUUAAUGAAAAUAUAAGUUUAAGGAAAGAGAAAAAGCAUUUUAAUACAAAUUGUUUAUUAUUAUUAUACAUUAUUGAUCCAUCCCUGGGUAGGAGAGAGACGGGGAAGAGAGAAACCGGGGUGGGAGAGAUGGGGAGAGAGAAACCGGGGUGGGAGGGAGGGAGACGGGGGGGAGAGGGAGACCGGGGUGGGAGAGAUGGGGAGAGAGAAACCGGGGUGGGAGAGAGGGAGACGGGGGGGAGAGAGGAGAGAGAAACCGGGGUGGGAGAGAGGGAGACGGGGGGAGAGAGAGACGGGGAGAGAGAAACCGGGGUGGGAGGGAGGGAGAUGGGGGGAGAGAGAGGGAGACGGGGGGGAGAGGAGGGAGAUGGGGGGAGAGAGAGGGAGACGGGGGGAGAGAGGAGGGAGAUGGGGAGAGAGAAACCGGGGUGGGAGAGAGGGAGACGGGGGGGGAGAGAGGGAGACGGGGGGAGAGAGGAGAGAGACGGGGAGAGAGAAACCGGGGUGGGAGAGAGGGAGACGGGGGGAGAGAGAGACGGGGAGAGAGAAACCGGGGUGGGAGGGAGGGAGAUGGAGGGAGAUGGGGAGAGAGAAACCGGGGUGGGAGAGAGGGAGACGGGGGGGGGAGAGGGAGACGGGGGGGAGAGAGGAGAGAGAUGGGGAGAGAGAAACCGGGGUGGGAGAGAGGGAGAUGGGAGGAGGGAGAUGGGGAGAGAGAAACCGGGGUGGGAGGGAGGGAGAUGGGGGGAGAGAGGAGGGAGAUGGGGAGAGAGAAACCGGGGUGGGAGAGAGGGAGACGGGGGGGGAGAGAGGGAGACGGGGGGGAGAGAGGAGAGAGAUGGGGAGAGAGAAACCGGGGUGGGAGAGAGGGAGACGGGGGGAGAGAGAGACGGGGAGAGAGAAAACCGGGGUGGGAGAGAGGGAGACGGGGGGAGAGAGAGACAGGGAGAGAGAAACCGGGGUGGGAGGGAGGGAGACGGGGGGAGAGAGAGACGGGGAGAGAGAAACCGGGGUGGGAGGGAGGGAGAUGGGGGGAGAGAGAGGGAGACGGGGGGAGAGAGAGACCGGGGGGAGAGAGACGGGGAGAGAGAAACCGGGGUGGGAGAGAGGGAGACGGGGGGAGAGAGGAGAGAGAGACCGAGUUGGGAGAGAGGGAGACGGGGAGAGGGAGAUGGGGAGAGGGAGAUGGGGAGAGGGAGAUGGGGAGAGAGACCGGUGGAGUGGGAGGGAGACAAGGAGAAGGGGAAGGGAAAACAGAGGAAGGUGAAAGGCAUGUUCUAUGUAGAUUGGGGGAAGAGAAAGGGAGGAUUGGGGGAAGAGAAAGGGAGGAUUGGGGGAAGAGAAAGGGAGGAUUGGGGGAAGAGAAAGGGAGGAUUGGGAGAAGAGAAAGGGAGGAUUGGGGGAAGAGAAAGGGAGGAUUGGGGGAAGAGAAAGGGAGGAUUGGGGGAAGAGAAAGGGAGGAUUGGGGGAAGAGAAAGGGAGGAUUGGGGGAAGAGAAAGGGAGGAUUGGGGAAGAGAAAGGGAGGAUUGGGGGAAGAGAAAGGGAGGAUUGGGGGAAGAGAAAGGGAGGAUUGGGGGAAGAGAAAGGGAGGAUUGGGUGGAAGGCAUUCAGGCAUCCUGUCAAAUCAGUUGAGGAGAGGGUGGAAGGCUUUGGGGCAUCCUCAGGUGAAUUGA